rnacentral:ncRNA from 1 species
CGAAUUUAGUGACGAGUUACGGCUGAAGCUUGGGUGAAACUAAGUGGAGGUCCGAACCGACUGAUGUUGAAGAAUCAGCGGAUGAGUUGUGGUUAGGGGUGAAAUGCCACUCGAACCCAGAGCUAGCU